rnacentral:piRNA from 1 species
UAGCCGACUUCAUCGAGAGUGUCCUUCUG